rnacentral:rRNA from 1 species
UACGAAGGGGCUAGCGUUGCUCGGAAUUACUGGGCGUAAAGCGCACGUAGGCGGAUUGUUAAGUCGGGGGUGAAAUCCUGGAGCUCAACUCCAGAACUGCCUUCGAUACUGGCGAUCUCGAGUUCGGGAGAGGUGAGUGGAACUGCGAGUGUAGAGGUGAAAUUCGUAGAUAUUCGCAAGAACACCAGUGGCGAAGGCGGCUCACUGGCCCGAUACUGACGCUGAGGUGCGAAAGCGUGGGGAGCAAACAGGG